rnacentral:rRNA from 1 species
UACGAAGGGGGCUAGCGUUGCUCGGAAUCACUGGGCGUAAAGCGCACGUAGGCGGGUCGUUAAGUCAGGGGUGAAAUCCUGGAGCUCAACUCCAGAACUGCCCUUGAUACUGGCGAUCUCGAGUUCGGGGAGAGGUGAGUGGAACUGCGAGUGUAGAGGUGAAAUUCGUAGAUAUUCGCAAGAACACCAGUGGCGAAGGCGGCUCACUGGCCCGAUACUGACGCUGAGGUGCGAAGGCGUGGGGAGCAAACAGG